UUGUUUCGGCAGCAAAUAUACGAAAAUCGCAACAAUAAAGACAAGGUUAGCAUGGCCACUGAGUAAGGAUGACAAGGCAAGUUUGGGAAUUGUUCCGUAUUUUU